AUUGAACGCUAGCGGGAUGCUUUACACAUGCAAGUCGAACGAGUGGCGGACGGGUGAGCAAUAUAUCAGAACGUGCCCAGUAGCGGGAGCUAACUACUCGAACGAGUGGCUACUACCGCCUACUACUGUAUCGGCCGCUGUCGGAUUAGCUAGUUGGUGGGGUAAAGCCUCACCAAGGCAACGAACCGUAGCAGGUUUGAGAGGACGACCAGCCACACUGGGACUGAGACACGGCCCAGACUCCUACGGGAGGCAGCAGUGGGGAAUUUUGGACAAUGGGGGAAACCCUGAUCCAGCCAUCCCGCGUGUAUGAGAAGGCCUUCGGGUUGUAAAGUACUUUUGUCAGAGAAGCGGUAUCUGCAGAAUAAGCACCGGCUAACUACGUGCCAGCAGCCGCGGUAAUUC
rnacentral:rRNA from 1 species